UGAGGAAUAUUGCGCAAUGGGCGAAAGCCUGACGCAGCGACGCCGCGUGGAGGAUGAAGGUCUUCGGAUUGUAAACUUCUGUUAAGUGGGAAGAAAGGGCUGUUUUUAAUAGAAGCAGUUAAUGACGGUACCAUUAAAGAAAGCACCGGCUAAACUCGUGCCAGCAGCCGCGGUAAUACGAGUGGUGCAAGCGUUAUUCGGAAUAAUUGGGCGUACAGGGUGUGUAGGCGGUAUGUUAAGUCUGUUGUUAAAGACUCCGGCCUAACCGGAGACAGGCAGCGGAAACUGGCGUACUAGAGGGUGGAAGAGAGAAGUGGAAUUCUCGGUGUAGCGGUAAAAUGCGUAGAUAUCGAGAGGAACACCGAUGGCGAAGGCAGCUUCUUGGUCCAUACCUGACGCUGAAACACGAAAGCGUGGGGAGCAAACAG
rnacentral:rRNA from 1 species